UGAGAGAUUACUGGUGGCCCGAAGGCCUU
rnacentral:piRNA from 1 species